UUGUAGAACACUUGAACAACAUCAAAACAAGUUAUUUUUCGCUGAUCUAAGAUUUAUGAUCUAAUAUGCAUGUAAUUUCGGGAUUUUCAAAAAGUUCGAUUUUUGCUGAAAUUUUUUGCAUGAUCUGGUUAGAAAUAGCAUUUGUAUGCAUUCUAAUGUUAUUAGAAAUUUUUUUCGCUAUUUUUACAGAUUUUUUCCAAAUAUUUUGUUCAUGUAUGCAAUUUUUUUGAUAUAGGAAAAUGGCGUUUUUGCUCGUAUUAGUGUUGUUGGUGCUAAUGGCUGGGAGACGGAGCUGUGGUGGUGGUAGAGGUCGUCAUGGGGUUUCUAAAAGGACACGCACAACUGAAGAAGCGUCCGGGUCUGAUCCGGAUUAUCAGGCGAGCUCCCCGGAAGAACCUGAAGAACCUAUUGCUCGACUUGACAAAGGCAAAGGAAUAGCUGGUGAAUCAUCUCAUGGUGGUGGUUCUCGUACUCGUGAGGGACGUACAAAACAAGCUGCAGAU
rnacentral:lncRNA from 1 species